GUCCUCCCGUACUCUGUUCUCAAAAGUAGAGGGUGAACCUCAAGGCUCACAGCGGAAGCAUUUCUUGUGUGAGAGGGUUGAGUGGUCUUCUUGCCUCUGCAGUACUCAUCUCUGGUUCAGCAGGAGAGGAAAACUGUGUGUUGUUUACUGCUUGGGUAGAUAUUUAGAUCAGAAAGGAAAAGGGUUUUGUACGGGUCGUGUUUGUGUCGGUGACCGCAACCCAAGGAUCUAUUUAUUACGCCGUUUUUCAUCCUAGGUCUGAGCUUUUGCUUACCGAGAGGAGGAGGAUCUUUGAUUUAAUGACAGGCACGGUUCUUUGGAUGUAAUUCUUUGCUUGAACACGACGCAUUACUCACUGUCCUUGACAAUUAAUUGCGCCAUGGAGCUGCAACUACUCUACUAGAACGGAAAGACAAUCCAAGCAGACAAUAUAAAUAAUCUGUGGGCCUGUAACCAACAACAGAUAAUUGCCUAGCGGGAACAGUACUGGAUAUACGUAUUUGAUUCACAUCGCUUUCAGCGAUAAAAAGGUUAACUGUGUCAAGUGCAUCAUCUCGGCCGUCAGUGUUACUUCGAAACGACCCAAGUUUUGCUGUCAGGUGAGCACCAUUUAAGACA